GGUACUUGUGGUAACAGUCGUUCAGGCAAGCAGUCAGUUAAAUGCAGGUAAAAAAAAGGGAGUCAAUCGCCAGAUCUUCGCCAACAUUCCAUGUAAAGCUGGAUACAUACGUGUCAUAGGUGGGAAGUGCCCAGAAACAUGGCCCAAAAUAAGCUAAACCCUAAGCAAAAGAAUAUAUACCGGCCAUCAGUAAAAAAUGGACCAAUACUAUGUAUAUAAUAUAUUUAUACUUGUAUAAAAUAUAUUUAAUGCCUACUAAAAGAA